CGGUCGGCAGGCGAUCCGCGUCGGUCGUGCGAGGGUGGUAUGGUUCCCCCAGAGGCCGGUUCUUGUGCUGCCUACCCCUUCAGGGGAAUCGGGCCACUUGAUGUAAGCCUCCAUCCGGCGCCUUCCAACGGGCGCAGGAGGACAACAGGGCACCCCCCGCGUUCCACCGAUCCUCCUUGGUCGCGUGGCCCGCGGGGACGUGCGACGCUCUCGGACCCAGCGAACGCCGUGGGCGAGGACUCACGUCCCAGUCCCGAAAAGAAGCUCCGAUAUAAUGCAAGACGGCCGCUCCCGCCCCCCCGGGGGCGAGGCGCGGCGUCGCAGAGGAAUGCUA
rnacentral:misc_RNA from 1 species